rnacentral:rRNA from 1 species
CGUUCCCGGGCCUUGUACACACCGCCCGUCACACCAUGGGAGUGGGUUGCACCAGAAGUAGCUAGUCUAACCUUCGGGAGGACGGUUACCACGGUGUGAUUCAUGACUGGGGUGAAGUCGUAACAAGGUAGCCGUAGGGGAACCUGCGGCUGGAUCACCUCCUUAA